GGGCUGGUCUGGCCGGGUGAGUCAGUUGGCUUUGGUUGUGGCUGCCCUCUGCCGGGUUUGGUUCCCAGGGUGGCGUGUGGGGUUGGUCUCAGCUCAGUGUCCCCAGGGGACCCCUCCUCUGGCCCACACCCACGGCUCGCCCCCUCCCCAGGCCCUGGUGCGCCUGCAGCUCUGGGCGAAUGUGGACGUGCUGCUGGUGGCCUCCUGGCAGGAGCUGAGUCAGCACGUGUGCGCCGUCACCAAAGCCCUCGCCCAGCGCCCCUUCAAGCACUCGCGGCCUGCAGCUCGGAGCAGGAGCGCAGGGGUAUCCUGGCGGACCUCCCCGUGAAGGCCAAUGACGGCCGGCGGCCCCGCAGGGUGGGGCCCGACCUCUCCCGCCGAGUGUACCUCUUUCUGACCACCACCAACCCCGACCUCCUGCUGGACCUGGGCUCCUGACCACGGCUUCGGGACCCAGCGGAGGCCUCCUGCCUGCCAGCGGGACAGCACGUGGCCCCAGGGAUUGACCAGACACCUUUGGCCCAACAAGUACUGUCACCCUGGAGUGGGCUCCCAGCCUCUGAUCUCAGGGGAAGGGCAAGGGGUGGCAGGGAACAUUUUUGGAUAACAGAGCUGAACAGAACAGGAAGUUCUUUC
rnacentral:lncRNA from 1 species